rnacentral:rRNA from 1 species
ACUCAAAUGAAUUGACGGGGGCCCGCACAAGCGGUGGAGCAUGGGGAUUAAUUCGUCACUAACCGAAGAACCUUACCCAGGCUUGACAUCCGUGGAAAGUCCGUGAAAGCGGUACCCCGGCCACGAAAGUGGUCGCCACGAGACAGGUGUUGCAUGGCUGUCGUCAGCUCGUGUCGUGAGAUGUUGGGUUAAGUCCCGCAACGAGCGCAACCCUCACGCGAUGUUGCCAGCGUCAAGUCGGGCACUCUUCGCGAACUGCCCGGGUAACCGGGAGGAAGGUGGGGAUGACGUCAAGUCGGCAUGGCCCUUACGCCUGGGGCUUCACCCAUGCUACAAUGGGCGCGACAAAGGGAUGCAAGACCGCGAGGUGGAGCCAAUCCCACAAACGCGCUCUCAGUUCGGAUUGCAGGCUGCAACUCGCCUGCAUGAAGUCGGAAUCGCUAGUAACCGCCGGUCAGCUAAACGGCGGUGAAUACGUUCCCGGGCCUUGUACACACCGCCCGU